CUGCAGAGCUAUCCUUGCAGAGAAUGUUUUCACUGCGCUACAGUACAGGAGGGAGUAUUCGUGUAUGCGGCUUUUUUUAUGUAGUCAGAAUAAUUGGCUGGAACUAAAUCAGUCACGUACACCAGCCCUCUGGUGCUUCCCAACUCUUGGAGAGAACCCGUUCUCAUUUCUUAUUCAAUCAAUUUUGCUUCACCAUCGUUAGAGUAGAGCAGGUGGGCAUCAUCUGCAGAUUGUUUCCUUCAGUUCCUGAUCUGCAGAUGACAGAGCUGAAGGAUAUUGACCUGCCCUGUAUAGCAGAAAAACCCAAAGGAAUAAUCUGAUGCACUUGGAUUUGUUUCUCCCGAGCAGUGGCAGCAAUAGGAAGCCGGUUAGCUGCGGCGCCAGAGUUUCACUGUAGCGCCACCAUUAGCCCCACGCUAACACAGCAGGUCUGCGGCAGGCUGCCAGAGACGCGUUCGCGGGCGCUGUGGGAAAAGUCACACCGAGCAGGGCGACGGAUCACUGCGCCGGACGGAAGCUACCGCUGCUCCGCCGGCGGCAGUCUGAGCGCGAUCCGCAUCGCCCCGUGAAAAGAAAAACCCCAUCGCCGGUCUGCGCCAACCACCGGUCAGCGUGUUUAUUAAAAACCCCGGGCAGCGGGGUGACACAGGAAAGGAAUCCCACGUCCCACAGACUGCAAUGGAGGAGAGCGGGGUGUGUGGGGAUGAGCCCAGCCCGUGAGCGAGGAGUCGGAGGGAUGGACAGAGAGAUGGAGAGAGAGAAAGAAGAUGCAGAAUGCAGCACAGAAGAUGUGAAAUGAGGUUUAGAGAGGCUCUUGUUAAUUAGGUUUUUUUUUUUUUUUUUUUACAUUUCAGCAAAUUAAUCAGCAGCUGCUGCACUGUUAGUUCUCGCUGUCUUACCCGUGACAAACAAUCAAAGCCGUUCUUCUCUCUGAGAUCCCAAACAGAGAUGCAGACUGUACUGACUUCACCCGCACUGUGUUUACCUCACAGAAACUCUACUGAAUGGACCUGCACUGUGUUUACCUCACACAGACUCUACUGACUGCACUGUGUUUACCUCACACAGACUCUACUGACUGAACUGUGUUUACCUCACACAGACUCUACUGACUGCACCCGCACUGUGUUUACCUCACACAGACUCUACUGACUGCACCUGCACUGUGUUUACCUCACACAGACUCUACUAACUGCACUGUGUUUACCUCACACAGACUCUACUGACUGCACUGUGUUUACCUCACACAGACUCUACUGACUGCACUGUCUUUA